AUUGAACGCUGGCGGCAUGCCUCACACAUGCAAGUCGAACGGCAGCGGACCUUCGGGUGCCGGCGAGUGGCGAACGGGUGAGUAAUAUAUCGGAACGUACCUUUCAGUGGGGGAUAACGUAGCGAAAGUUACGCUAAUACCGCAUAUUCUGUGAGCAGGAAAGCAGGGGGAUCGCAAGACCUUGCGCUGAUUGAGCGGCCGAUAUCAGAUUAGCUAGUUGGUGAGGUAAAGGCUCACCAAGGCGACGAUCUGUAGCGGGUCUGAGAGGAUGAUCCGCCGACACUGGAACUGAGACACGGUCCAGACUCCUACGGGAGGCA
rnacentral:rRNA from 1 species